rnacentral:rRNA from 1 species
AGAACGAACGCUGGCGGCAUGCCUAACACAUGCAAGUCGAACGAGACCUUCGGGUCUAGUGGCGCACGGGUGCGUAACGCGUGGGAAUCUACCCUUGGGUUCGGAAUAACAGUUGGAAACGACUGCUAAUACCGGAUGAUGACGUAAGUCCAAAGAUUUAUCGCCCAGGGAUGAGCCCGCGUAGGAUUAGCUAGUUGUGAGGUAAAGGCUCACCAAGGCGACGAUCCUUAGCGUGGUCUGAGAGGAUGAUCAGCCACACUGGACUGAGACACGGCCCAGACUCCGUACGGGAGCAGCGAGGUAGGGGAAUAGUUGGAACCAAGUGGGACGAAAGCCGUAGACUCGAGACAAGUCG